UGAAUACGAGAUGCUACGGCGUCGAAGCAGUGUAUGUCAGACUUCCAAGAAAAGCUCGCAAUGUCAUAAAUAAAGAAUGCCUGUACCAUAACCGACACAGGUGGGUAGGUAGAGUAUACUAAGGGGCGCGAGAUAACUCUCUCUAAGGAACUCGGCAAAAUAACUCCGUAACUUCGGGAGAAGGAGUGCCUUCUUUAAGAAGGUUGCAAUAACAAGAUCCAAGCAACUGUUUAUCAAAAACACAGGUCUCCGCUAAGUCGUAAGACGAUGUAUGGGGGCUGACGCCUGCCCAGUGCCAGAAGGUUAAAGAAGCUGGUUAGCAAUAGCGAAGCUGGUGACUGAAGCCCUGGUGAACGGCGGCCGUAACAAUAACGGUCCUAAGGUAGCGAAAUUCCUUGUCGGGUAAGUUCCGACCCUCACGAAAGGCGUAAUGAUUUGGAUACUGUCUCGGAGAGGGACUCGGUGAAAUAGACUUGUCUGUGAAGAUGCGGACUACCUGCACCAGGACAGAAAGACCCUAUGAAGCUUUACUGUAACCUGAAAUUGAAAUUGGACUUUAUUUGCGCAGUAUAGGUGGGAGGCGUUGAAAGUAAUCUUGCGUGAUUAAUGGAGCCAUCAGUGAGAUACCACUCCUAUAAUGUUAGAUUUCUAACUUUGGAUCAUGAUCUGGUCAAAGAACAGUUUCAGGCGGGCAGUUUGACUGGGGCGGUCGCCUCCCAAAUGGUAACGGAGGCGUACAAAGGUUUCCUCUGAACGGGUAGAAAUCGUAUCUAGAGUAUAAAGGCAUAAGGAAGCUUGACUGUGAGACCUACAAGUCGAGCAGGGACGAAAGUCGGUCUUAGUGAUCUGACGGUGCUGAGUGGAAAGGCCGUCACUCAACGGAUAAAAGUUACUCUAGGAUAACAGGCUGAUCUCCCCCAAGAGUUCACAUCGACGGGGAGGUUUGGCACCUCGAUGUCGGCUCAUCGCAUCCUGGGGUGGUAGUACGUCCCAAGGGUUGGGCUGUUCGCCCAUGAAAGCGGUACGCGAGCUGGGUUCAGAACGUCGUGAGACAGUUCGGUCCAUAUCCGGUGUAGGCGUUAGAAUAUUGAGAGGAGCCUUCUCUAGUACGAGAGGACCGAGAAGGACAUACCUCUGGUGUACCAGUUAUCGUGCCAACGGUAAACGCUGGGUAGCUAUGUAUGGAGAGGAUAACCGCUGAAAGCAUCUAAGUGGGAAGCCCACCUCAAGAUGAGUAUUCUCAUC
rnacentral:rRNA from 1 species